GAUGAAGAACGCAGCGAAAUGCGAUAAGUAAUGUGAAUUGCAGAAUUUAGUGAAUCAUCGAAUCUUUGAACGCACAUUGCGCCCCCCAGUAUUCUGGCGGGCAUGCCUGUUCGAGCGUCAUUUCAACCAUCAAGCCCUGCUUGUGUUGGGGUCCUGCGGCUGCCCGCAGGCCCUGAAAACCAGUGGCGGGCUCGCUAGUCACACCGAGCGCAGUAGCACAUCUCGCUCAGGGCGUGCGGCGGGCUCCAGCCGUUAAAGCACCCACCUUUCGCAAGGUUGACCUCGGAUCAGGUAGGAAUACCCGCUGAACUUAAGCAUAUCAAUAAGCGGAGGA
rnacentral:misc_RNA from 1 species